CAGCAUUGUGGUGAGCACAAAGCAGACUAUUCUUUUGCCUUUUACUAAAGAAUACUAGUGUGCUUGUCUGCUCAAAGUGUCAUACACCUAUUUUUGGAGAGCCUUUCUCAUUGAUGAGAUU
rnacentral:snRNA from 1 species